CCUAAUUCAAUUCACAUCAACCUUCCUAUGCAGCAGACUGGUGAACCCUAAAACUGGAUGCUUGUUGUACCAAAAUCACCACUACAACUUCAGCGAUAGUUAGCUGAGCUCAGCGCUGUGGUGCGGCUAUGAUGCUGAAGGUGUUCUGCAUCUUACCUGUGGCAAAAUGUAUGGUGCAAGAGGCUGGAGCAGUUCCAUAGAGAAGACUGGCUACGGUACUAUCCAGCAUGAAAAAAAAGGAUCGUGGAGCUUGUUUGGCUGCAAAGGCAGAAGAACAUAGCAGAAUCAUGGACAAAAC